GAUCAUGGCUCAGGAUGAACGCUAGCUACAGGCUUAACACAUGCAAGUCGAGGGGCAGCAUGAACUUAGCUUGCUAGGUUUGAUGGCGACCGGCGCACGGGUGAGUAACACGUAUCAAACCUUCCGUUUACUCAGGGAUAGCCUUUCGAAAGAAAGAUUAAUACCUGAUAGUAUGGUGAGAUUGCAUGAUAGCACCAUUAAAGAUUUAUUGGUAAACGAUGGGGAUGCGUUCCA
rnacentral:rRNA from 1 species